ACGUAGGAGACAAACGUUAUCCGGAGUUACUGGGCGUAAAGGGCGUGCAGGCGGCUUGUUAAGUUUGGCGUGAAAGCUCCUGGCUAAACCGGGAGAGGUCGUCGGAGACUGGCAGGCUCGAGGGUGAUAGAGGCGGGUGGAAUUCCGGGUGUAGUGGUGAAAUGCGUAGAGAUCCGGAGGAACACCAGUGGCGAAGGCGACCCGCUGGGUCACACCUGACGCUGAGACGCGACAGCAUGGGGAGCGAACGGGA
rnacentral:rRNA from 1 species